CAUGCUGUCUAAUCAGCAUCUUGAUAUGCCACACUUGUGAGGUGGAUGGAUUAUCUCGGCAAAGGAGAAGUGCUCACUAACACAGAUUUAGACAGAUUUGUGAACAAUAUUUGAGAGAAAUAAGCCUUUUGUGUACAUAGAAAAAAAGUCUUAGAUUUUUUAGUUCAGCUCACGAAAAAUGGGGCAAAAACAAAAGUGUAGCGUUUAUAAUUUUGUUCAGU